GGAAAUUCUACAGAAAUGUAUCCCAUGAGAAGAUAAAUAUAAUGGAUGUGCAUACACACAAAAUGGGCAUCACUGCUUAGCGAUUACACAUAUGGAUCAGUGGUACUGAAGAUUAUAUUUUAUUUCUGUAGGAGCACGUGUGUGUUCAUGCUCCACAGCACAUGUGGAGGUCAUUUCUCUCCUUCUACCUAUGAGUCCACAGAUCAAACUCAGGUUAUCAGGAAAGUAUUGAAGUAGAAGAAGCAAGAAAGAACAAAAAAGUAAAUACACUUUGUGAGUGAGAGAAACAGGAGAAAAUUUUAAUAUUGGAAGGAAAAGAGUAGAGAACUACAAACAAACUGGGAAAAGAAUGACUGGAAAUGCUGAGGAGACAAAACUCUACCAAACAACAAAGAGCUCAGAGAGAGAAGUGGAGAUGGAAGAGGUGCAGCUCUAUUAAAGGAGGAACAGAGUACAGAGAAAACAGGUGGCCAUCAGAAGGUCAGACGUACAGACUGCGCAGAGAUAAUGGAGAGAACAGAAGACAAAGACCAAGAGGAAAGCAGAAAGCUGAGCAGGCACUCAUGGAGGUACAGAUAGUACCAAGCGUCCAGCUCUCGAGCAACAGUAUGCGAUGCAGGAAACUGAUACAUGAGCCAGGGCUGACAGGAGACACUAACAUAUAUCACAUGGGUGUGAAUUCAUACAGACUGAGUGACCAGUUAAGUCCAAAACAAUGGAAAGGACUUGGGUAAAUGGAAAGGACUGUGUACAUAAAGAUUUAACACACAGGGGCUUACUGGAAAAAGGACUAUAACCCUACAACCAGAGCGUAGUUUCUGUCAAGUAGUAGAAAUAUAUUAAAAAAUAUGUUUAUCUACGGCAUCAAUGAAAGGCAAGGUAGACAUAUGUGAAAAAAUAAUUUUAAAAAAACUAACAAGUUAUUAAAAGAAUGAAUGAACAGCCUA